UACGGAGGAUGCGAGCGUUAUCCGGAUUUAUUGGGUUUAAAGGGUGCGUAGGCGGCUUUUUAAGUCAGCGGUGAAAUUUUGCAGCUUAACUGUAACAGUGCCGUUGAUACUGGGGAGCUAGGAUUUGGUUGCUGUGGGUGGAAUGUGUGGUGUAGCGGUGAAAUGCUUAGAUAUUACACAGAACACCAAUUGCGUAGGCAGCUUACUGAGCCGACACUGACGCUGAGGCACGAAAGCGUGGGGAUCAAACAGGAUUAGAUA
rnacentral:rRNA from 1 species